rnacentral:rRNA from 1 species
UACGUAGGUGGCAAGCGUUGUCCGGAAUUAUUGGGCGUAAAGCGCGCGCAGGCGGUCUCUUAAGUCUGAUGUGAAAGCCCCCGGCUCAACCGGGGAGGGCCAUUGGAAACUGGGAGACUUGAGUACAGAAGAGGAGAGUGGAAUUCCACGUGUAGCGGUGAAAUGCGUAGAUAUGUGGAGGAACACCAGUGGCGAAGGCGACUCUCUGGUCUGUAACUGACGCUGAGGCGCGAAAGCGUGGGGAGCAAACAGG